rnacentral:rRNA from 1 species
CACGUAGGGUGCGAGCGUUUGUCCGGAAUUAUUGGGCGUAAAGAGCUCGUAGGCGGUGUGUCGCGUCGGCCGUGAAAACCUGCAGCUUAACUGUGGGCGUGCGGUCGAUACGGGCAUCACUGGAGUUCGGCAGGGGAGACUGGAAUUCCUGGUGUAGCGGUGAAAUGCGCAGAUAUCAGGAGGAACACCGGUGGCGAAGGCGGGUCUCUGGGCCGAUACUGACGCUGAGGCGCGAAAGCUAGGGUGGCAAACAGG